UACGGAGGGGGCUAGCGUUGUUCAGAUUUACUGGGCGUAAAGGGCGCGUAGGCGGACCAUCAAGUCAGGGGUGAAAGGCCUGGGCUCAACCCGGGAAUUGCCUUUGAAACUGAAGGUCUAGAGUCCGAGAGAGGUUAGCGGAAUUCCCAGUGUAGAGGUGAAAUUCGUAGAGAUUGGGAAGAACACCAGUGGCGAAGGCGGCUAUCUGGCUCGGUACUGACGAUGAGGCGCGAAAGAGUGGGGAGCAAACAGG
rnacentral:rRNA from 1 species